GUCCCUUCGGGGAUAUUUGAUAAAAUUGGAAUGAUACAGAAAAGGUUAUCAUGACCCUACACAAGGAUCAAAAAAUCUGAUUUUAGUUUUUCUCUUAAUUC